UACGUAGGGGGCAAGCGUUAUCCGGAUUUACUGGGUGUAAAGGGGGCGCAGACGGCGAUGCAAGCCAGGAGUGAAAGCCCGGGGCCCAACCCCGGGACUGCUCUUGGAACUGCGUGGCUGGAGUGCAGGAGGGGCAGGCGGAAUUCCUGGUGUAGCGGUGAAAUGCGUAGAUAUCAGGAGGAACACCGGUGGCGAAGGCGGCCUGCUGGACUGUAACUGACACUGAGGCACGAAAGCGUGGGGAGCAAACAGG
rnacentral:rRNA from 1 species